rnacentral:tRNA from 1 species
GUGGUUGUAGUUCAACGGUAGAGCACUUGCCUCGCAUGUGUGAGGCACUGGGUUUGAUUCUCAGCACCCAUA